GAUGAACGCUGGCGGCGUGCCUAAUACAUGCAAGUCGAGCGAACAGAUGAGGAGCUUGCUCCUCUGACGUUAGCGGCGGACGGGUGAGUAACACGUGGAUAACCUACCUAUAAGACUGGGAUAACUUCGGGAAACCGGAGCUAAUACCGGAUAAUAUCUUGAACCGCAUGGUUCAAUAGUGAAAGACGGUUUUGCUGUCACUUAUAGAUGGAUCCGCGCCGCAUUAGCUAGUUGGUAAGGUAACGGCUUACCAAGGCAACGAUGCGUAGCCGACCUGAGAGGGUGGUCGGCCACACUGGAACUGAGACACGGUCCAGACUCCUACGGGAGGCAGCAGUAGGGAAUCUUCCGCAGUGGGCGAAAGCUUGACGGAGCAACGCCGCGUGAGUGAUGAAGGUCUUCGGAUCGUAAAACUCUGUUAUUAGGGAAGAACAAAUGUGUAAGUAACUAUGCACGUCUUGACGGUACCUAAUCAGAAAGCCACGGCUAACUACGUG
rnacentral:rRNA from 1 species